AUUCAGCUGACGAGUCCCAAAUAAGACGAAACGCGCAUCAAACUGGAC
rfam:Schistosoma rodhaini strain Burundi genome assembly, scaffold: SROB_scaffold0003053